UACGGGGGGGGCAAGCGUUGUUCGGAAUUACUGGGCGUAAAGGGCGCGUAGGCGGUUCGCUAAGUUGGAUGUGAAAACUCUGGGCUCAACCCAGAGCCUGCAUCCAAAACUGGCGGGCUAGAGUUCUGGAGGGGGUAGCGGAAUUCCUGGUGUAGCGGUGAAAUGCGUAGAUAUCAAGCGGAACACCGGUGGCGAAGGCGGCCUUCUGGACAGUGACUGACGCUGAGACGCGAAAGCGUGGGGAGCAAACAGG
rnacentral:rRNA from 1 species